rnacentral:rRNA from 1 species
AUUGUGCCAGCCGCCGCGCGGUAAUACGAGUGGUGCAAGCGUUAUUCGGAAUCACUGGGCGUAAAGGGUGUGUAGGCGACAAAUCAAGUCUAUUGUUAAAUAUCUCGGCUUAACCGGGAAGAUGCGAUGGAAACUGUUUUGAUAGAGGAUGGAAGAGAGGAGUGGAAUUCUCGGAGUAGCGGUAAAAUGCGUAGAUAUCGAGAGGAACACCGAUGGCGAAGGCAGCUUCUUGGUCCAUACCUGACGCUGAUACACGAAAGCGUGGGGAGCAAACAGGAUUAGAUACCCUGGUAGUCCACGCUGUAAACGAUGAUCACUUGAUGUUGGUUCUGCUUAGCGGAAUCAGUGUCGGAGCUAACGCGUUAAGUGAUCCGCCUGGGGAGUACGGUCGCAAGACUAAAACUCAAAAGAAUUGACGGGGGCCCGCACAAGCGGUGGAACAUGUGGUUUAAUUCGACACUACGCGAGGAACCUUACCUGGGCUUGACAUGUUUUUGACAGUUGUAGAAAUACAAUCUUCUAGGCUUCGGUCUAGACAAUUACACAGGUGCUGCAUGGCUGUCGUCAGCUCGUGUCGUGAGAUGUUGGGUUAAGUCCUAUAACGAGCGCAACUCUCGCUGUCAGUUGCUACCAUUAAGUUGGGCACUCUGACGGGACUGCCCGGGAAACCGGGAGGAAGGUGGGAAUGACGUCAAGUCCGCAUGGCCCUUAUGUCCAGGGCGACACACGUGUUACAAUGGCCGAUACAAAGGGCUGCCAACUCGUAAGAGUGAGCUAAUCCCCAAAGUCGGUCUAAGUUCGGAUUGAGGUCUGCAACCCGACCUCAUGAAGUUGAAAUCGCUAGUAAUUGCGCAUCAGAACGGCGCAGUGAAUACGUUCUCGGGCCUUGCACACACCGCCCGUCAAAU